rnacentral:rRNA from 1 species
UACGGAGGGAGCAAGCGUUACUCGGAAUUAUUGGGCGUAAAGGGCGCGUAGGCGAUUUGACAAGUCUUGUGUGAAAGCCCCGGGCUUAACUCGGGAAGUGCACAAGAAACUGUUGAAUUUGAGUUCCGGAGAGGAAGGCAGAAUUCCCGGUGUAGCGGUGAAAUGCGUAGAUAUCGGGAGGAAUACCAGUGGCGAAGGCGGCCUUCUGGACGGAUACUGACGCUGAGGCGCGAAAGCCAGGGGAGCAAAC